GAGAUCAAAUUACUAACACCAAAGUAUUGCUUAGUUAUCUACACAUUAAAUAAUAACAAAAUCAGAAGUUUCGCGGGGUUUUGUGCAAGAGUAUAUUGGUGUAACAGCAGAGGACCCCUAGAGGUCAGUGGUAAGACCAAAGCAGUUAGAGCUGCUUGAUAGAAGAGGAGCCUGAUCUCCGGGGACACAGACUGCAUCAGUCGACAGCCACAAUACUCAAGAAGUCAAGUCAAGAACGGGUACAUCUGGAAAGAAGAAGGGAGAUCAUACUUGAAUCAACACUUGAAGUCUUUUCUGAAUAGAUUAGCAGGGCUCUGGAGAGCUUCACUUGAGGACGCAAGCAUGAGCUCAAUAUGUGGACCAUGUUUCUCUUCACAUCCAGCUUUCUAUCAGACAGCAUCCAGCCUCCGCACCUUACCAACCCACCGCAACAUUCCUUCCACACCCUUCACCUCCUUUCCGCAUGGCUUCACCUCCAUCAUUUAACAAGACAAACAGCCAGCCCGAUCAUUCUUCAUAUUGCUCAACCUCUGCGGUUAAACAAUGCUCCUGUAAAUCCCUCAGAUCCGGCUCAGCCCUCAGCCCGGUGCCAGCACAUAUGUGUGACUGAGAUCGACUGAGAUCUAAAUGGCUUUUGAGUCAACUGUCCAAUUACUUUUGGUCCCUUUAAAAAGGGGGGAGGUACAUAUUAAAGAACUGUAAUUUCUUAAGCUUUCCUCCAAUUAUGAUGACCCAGAUAGCAAGAGAGCAGGUGAAAACCAUUAAAUCAAUGUUUAAAAAAAAAUGUUUUUGUCAAUGUUAAUGGCAUUGAAUUAAUACUACAUUUGCACCUGCAAUUAAUGUUGAACAUUUUGAAAUUUCAACAAACCACCAUUGUUGUCAUCAGUGUUUGCUUUAGUUGGGCUCUUGACUCUUGCUUUUCAUUCAUUUCAAUAUAAACACUUAAGCAUUAAUAAAGAAAGAGGUGUUUUUAAGUUAAGUUGGAGUAGCUUUACCUUUUUGUGAUGGGUGUCAAGCUGUAAUGAAGUUGAAAAAUAAUACUAAAAAUACAGCAUGCAUUUCAGCAUAAAAUCUUCUUUUGUUGAUUGUCACCAUUGUUGAAUUUCAUAUGCUGAUUCUUGAUAUCUAAUUCAUUCAUUUUUUGUAUUUUCUAUUAACUCAUAGAAGUGUGAUAGCUGUGUUACUGCUUUAAUCUCACACUGUAGUUUCACACAUAAAAACAAUUAUUUAAAUAACAUCACAAUCAUUAGUCACCAUCACCUGUUCACAAUGGAUCUUAGUUUUCUUUGCCUCAACAUAUGUACUUUAGCACAUUGUGACAAUGCGGGUGCAAAAGUAAUUUUGAUUCAAUGUAAUUAACAUUGAGAAAUCAACUACUUUUAACAUUGAUUCAAUGGUUGCUUGCUAUCAGGGGAGAAUACCCUCAAAUUAAAGCUCAGAGUGUGCAUUUUAAGCCCAUAUUCAUUGUAUAACUGUAAUAUGAAUAUGUUUUGGUCAGUAGCUAAAUUAAUAAAA